AGAACUAUUUUACGUGUUUCUAAGUUGUUGGCUACAUCAAAGAGAUCAUCUGUAUUCUGCAUAUGGGCUGGCUUUGGUGAAGCUGAUGACUGGACUUCUAAGAACCGUUUUCCCAAAUGGGUUCCCAUAUUCAUGCACCCAAAGCAAUGGUCCCCAAGCACUGAUGAAAACUAAUAUGCAUUUCCCAAAGACCCACACUAUGUAUCAGGAGCCUGCACCAUGCCAUUUGAAUGACCCUCAGCAAUGUGCCUCCCUGCCCUCAAAUUCCCAGUUGAUAACAGUGUUUGAUUAAAUUUCCACUCAAGCCAAACAUGGUUACUAAGAAGAGAAAAACCUGAUGUUUGCAUAAUAUUUUUUUUCCCCUCGAGAUGGAGUCUUGCUCUGUUGCCCAGGCUGGAGUGCAGUGGCAUGAUCUCAGCCACUGCAACCUCUGCCUCCCGGGUUCAAGCGAUUCUUCUGCCUCAGCCUCCCAAGUAGUUGGGAUUACAGACAUGUGCCACCACGCCUGGCUAAUUUUUGUAUUUUUAGUAGAGACAGGGUUUCACCAUGUUGACCACACUGGUCUUGAACUUCUAACCAUGUGAUCUGCCUGCCUCGGCCUCCCAAAGUGCUGGGAUUACAGGCUUGAGCCACCACGCCCAGCCUAAGAUUUUAUGAUUAAAAAAAAUUCAAGCUCAAUACCCACAUAAAUUAUAACGUUUCUCAGGAAGUAGUCCCUUAACCAAAACGUCUCUGAGAAGUGAUGCUUAGGUAAUCUCUGGGAUCCGAUUUUCCCACAUGUCUCACUCCACAGUAUGCUAAAGAAGAAAAAGUGAGUGGGCACAACACUUUGACCCUCUGGCUAAGCCCUGGGAGUCCCUGACAGGUCCAGAAACUUCUCUGACACCCAUUCACCAGGGUGCUGAGAUAGGAGAAAGUGCUCAUUUAUAAUGUGUAUUCUGUGCAGCUGUUCUCAGACAAGACCGGAUCUUGUCAUCUUACCUUUUGCUUUACAAAAAAGGCCUGUUGAAGUCAAUGCUGUCUUGCCCCUUGCUGUUUCAGCAGGUUAGACUUUGGUCUUCACUGCUUAUAGCUGCAUUGGAGGCCAACGUAGCUGAUGCUCAGGGUCAGGCCUCGCCCCUUCGCCGCAGGUCUCAGGAUCGGGGAUAACAUCGCUCCCACCCUGCUCAUUUAGAGAUGGGAAACAAGCAAGAGCUUGACUUGCCUCCCAUCCCUCAGCCUGUCUGUGGCAGAGCCUGCACCAAAACCCAGAGCUUCUUCCCUCCGUGAGGGCCACGCUGUCACCACAGUCCUCCCAGAUGGGUUUUGGAUUAGCAUCAGUCCUGUGUCACCAAGUGCCAAACAGCUGAGGGGUAGAAGUGGGACUCCUUUCCCGAGCCCCAGCAUGAGGCUGUGGUGUCAGGUUUAGGCCUCUCUCAAGUCAGAAAACCCCGGGCUGAGACCUCCACAGACAAGGGCUCCCCAUGCUGGCCAUUGGCAGGGGCCCAAGAAGUUCAGUGACCAACUGGUCCUUCCACACCACACCAGCUGGUGCUGCCCAUGUCUGUCGAAUCAUAACGGAAAAUUCCCCAGAUCACGUUUGGAUUUAAAAACUCAUCCCUUGUCGUGCUUCAAUGCAUGCCAUUUGUCACUUACCAUACUUCACCAUGGCCGAGCUUCAUGUCACAUGGCCUGGCGAUUGUGCUUGUUCACACUGGGGCCAGGAUUUUCAUACUAAAACGUCACUGACAAUGGGGCUACUUUUCUCCUGAAUAGCUCCUCUGGGCUUGUUGCAGUUCUAGUUUUCCCAGUAGUUCCAUGGCAGGUUCAACCUCUCAGUGUCCUGAAAAAUGGAACCACCCACUAACCAUAUGCACUGGCUGCCCAGGUGGCUGCACUCCGGGGAUCACGUUUCAGUACUGAGUUCCUUCACGCACUUGGUUCACCACCAUCACUCUUGAGUUUUGGACAAAAGAGGUGGGUAUGCCAGGCACAGUGGCUCACGCCUGUGAUCCCAGCACUUUGGGAGGCCGAGGCGGGCGGAUCACCUGAGGUCGGGAGUUCGAAACCAGCCUGACCAACAUGGAGAAACCCUGUCUCUACUAAAAAUAUAAAAUUAGCCGGGUGUGGUGGCGCAUGCCUGUAAUCCCAGCUACUCGGGAGGCUGAGGCAGGAGAAUCUCUUGAACCCAGGAGGCAAAAGUUGCAAUGAGCUGAGAUCGUGCCAUUUGCACUCCAGCCUGGGCAACAAGAGCGAAAUUCCAUCUCAAAAAAAAAAGGUGGGUAAAGGGCCAUGAGCCCAAACCACUAGGUUGUUCACCUUUUCAUCUGAAAAUGCUUUACUCUGACUAUGUGCUAUUGGGUUUUAUUUCCAGAAAAUAUAGUUCUCCUUUUUUCUGCAUGAAGGAUACAUCGUGGUGCCACAUGCUUUAAGCAAUUUAAACAAGAGAGAUAAGAGGAAAAUGCAACCACCACAUCUGACUUGCCCAAUGUAGACUUUCCUUUAUUAGAUUGAAGUACACAACCUAAUAUGAUAUAUUAUUUUGUAGUAUCUCAGACUUUGUAAAUAAAUGCCAUUAUUUUUAUAUGGAAAUUUUAUAGAAGAGCUAUUUCUGUAUACGUAAUUACUCCUGAUUUUCUGAAAUUGCUUCUGGUAGAUAACAGACAAGUCCUAAGCAGUGUUCCACUAAGGGUGGUUCCAGGCCUGCCUGCCGUGGAGUUGACUGGGGGAAUUUUACAGUUUUGCGAUCCUAGGAUGCGUCCCAGACGCUCAGUCAGAAGUGCUGGAGGUGGGGCCUGGGAAGCUGUAUUUGUAAUGAACUCUGGUGUUUUUUGUCCAUUAAAGUGUAUCUUUGUCCAUCCUAUAAGAUUAAAGGAAAGAAAAAGCAUCUCAAAUGAGUGUAAGUUGUUCUUGAGAAAAAAAUGUAUCAGACUUUUAUGAUUUGAAUGAAAUGUAUUAUAGAAAAAAAUAAACACUUUAAAAUAA
rnacentral:lncRNA from 10 species